GCAUGUUGCUCAGUGGUAGAGUGCUUGUCUAGCACGUGCGUGACCCUGGGUUCCAUCCCCAGUAUUGCA
rnacentral:tRNA from 1 species